UACGUAGGGUGCAAGCGUUGUCCGGAAUUAUUGGGCGUAAAGGGUGCGUAGGCGGUCUGGUAAGUCUGACGUGAAAUCUCCGGGCCUAACCCGGAAACUGCGUCGGAUACUAUCCGGCUAGAGGAUUGGAAGGGAGACUGGAAUACUUGGUGUAGCAGUGAAAUGCGUAGAUAUCAAGUGGAACACCAGUGGCGAAGGCGAGUCUCUGGACAAUACCUGACGCUGAGGCACGAAAGCCAGGGGAGCAAACGGG
rnacentral:rRNA from 1 species